rnacentral:tRNA from 1 species
GGGACAUUAGCUCAAUUGGUAGAGCAGCUGACUCUUAAUCAGGAGGUUACAGGUUCGAUUCCUGUAUGUCCCACCA